UCUCUACCUCCCUCCCUCUCUCUGUCUCUCUGUCUCUGUCUCUGUCUCUCUCUCUCUCUCUCUCUCUCUCUCUCUCUCUCUCUCUUUCUCACUAAACCACACAUUUCCUAUAGAUGCCACUGGGUGUGUGUCAUUCACAUUCCUGAUACACACAGUUGACAACCACAGAGGAAAGACUUACAAGGAGCAAGAUUGGCAGAGGACAGCACAGCCUGCAGAGGGGCUGAUGAAAGCUUCCUUUUCUUCCUCUGACUCCCUAUUGUUGGUGAUAUAGGCAGCCAUCUCAUCUUUCCUCUGCCACAGUCACUGGCAACUCUCAUUGCUGAACUUUUAUUGCUGAACCUUCCUGGCCAUAAUAGAGUGACCAGACAGUUUCAAAAAGCGCUCGGCUUUUCUUUGACCCUCAUGACACUGGACUCUCAGCACUGCCAGAAGACAAGACAGCGAACGGUCCCAUGAUUCAACAGCAGCCUUCCCUUCUUUUUACCUUCUACUGGAUCAAAAAAUCUGAAUGCUCCCAAACUGCACAGCCAGCAAACUCAGACAUCACCAAUGCACAGUCAUUUCACAGAAGAGGAAGUAGAAACUCGAAGGGCAUGUCAGUCACCACAGAACUAGCCAGUUCCCAAGUCUGGGCCCCAGUCCAUGAAUCCUGACAUUCACAUCCAGGGUUGAUCUCCCUUCCAUAGUCAACCAUCUCUGGAAACACCAUCACAGACUGACUAUCCAGAAGCGUGUCUCCUGGGGCCUUCCACAUCUAGUCAGGUUGACACUGAAGAUAAACCAUGACAGAAGGGACACUCAUGAGACCAGCAGCUGCCACUCACAGUAGCCUUACAGAGUCAGCGCACUACAAGCUGAGUCUGAGGUAUGAACACACCAAGACAGACCUGCCUCAGGGAACUGCCUCACGCCAAGCAAAGCCCCAAGAGACAGCAAGUAUCCUGUGUGUGAAUUUAAGAAAUGAAAUAUGAUGUCUAAAGAGGAGGAAAAAAUA